rnacentral:rRNA from 1 species
CCUACGGGCGGCAGCAGUGGGGGAUAUUGCACAAUGGGGGAAACCCUGAUGCAGCGACGCCGCGUGGGUGAAGAAGCGCCUCGGCGCGUAAAGCCCUGUCAGCAGGGAAGAAAAUGACGGUACCUGAAGAAGAAGCCCCGGCUAACUACGUGCCAGCAGCCGCGGUAAUACGUAGGGGGCAAGCGUUAUCCGGAUUUACUGGGGGUAAAGGGGGCGCAGACGGCGAUGCAAGCCAGGAGUGAAAGCCCGGGGCCCAACCCCGGGACUGCGCUUGGAACUGCGUGGCUAGAGUGCAGGAGGGGCAGGCGGAAUUCCUGGUGUAGCGGUGAAAUGCGUAGAUAUCAGGAGGAACACCGGUGGCGAAGGCGGCCUGCUGGACUGCAACUGACGUUGAGGCCCGAAAGCGUGGGGAGCAAAUAGGAUUAGAUACCCCAGUAGUC